UUUCAGGGUGGUGAGAAUGCGUUGAAUAAGGUGACGCUGACUAGACCUGUCCUCCACCCCUUCCUUGCACGAUCAUACAUUGAUGUUCUGAAAUGCUUCUUCGAAGACAAACUAUAACAUAGCCAACAACUAUUUGCUUCAGAAGAGAGAUGCCAGAAGAUACUCGAACUUAUUCCUGAUGAAAAUGUUGCUAGUGAGCUCCAUGAUAGGUGGCAAGGAAAUAGACGGUCCUCUAUUUCGAAGGAAGAUGUGAAUCCAGCAAGAUGGGAGCAGUUAAAGACGACCUUGCAGUCAGGAAAACAUGAGGGGCUUCGCAGAUGUGUAGAAGAGAUUGUCUUCUCAUACACGUAUCCUAGACUUGACAUGGAGGUGUCAAAACACAUGAACCAUUUACUGAAAGCCCCCUUCUGCAUACACCCAAAGACAGGUAAAAAGCCGGAUAUAUUUCUAAUUUUAGUUUUCUAA
rnacentral:rRNA from 1 species